rnacentral:rRNA from 1 species
CCUACGGGAGGCAGCAGUGGGGAAUUUUGGACAAUGGGCGAAAGCCUGAUCCAGCAAUGCCGCGUGCAGGAAGAAGGCCUUCGGGUUGUAAACUGCUUUUGUACGGAACGAAACGGUCUGUUUUAAUACAGUGGGCUAAUGACGGUACCGUAAGAAUAAGCACCGGCUAACUACGUGCCAGCAGCCGCGGUAAUACGUAGGGUGCGAGCGUUAAUCGGAAUUACUGGGCGUAAAGCGUGCGCAGGCGGUUAUAUAAGACAGUUGUGAAAUCCCCGGGCUCAACCUGGGAAUUGCAUCUGUGACUGUAUAGCUAGAGUACGGUAGAGGGGGAUGGAAUUCCGCGUGUAGCAGUGAAAUGCGUAGAUAUGCGGAGGAACACCGAUGGCGAAGGCAAUCCCCUGGACCUGUACUGACGCUCAUGCACGAAAGCGUGGGGAGCAAACAGGAUUAGAUACCCUGGUAGUCCACGCCCUAAACGAUGUCAACUGGUUGUUGGGUGCAUUAGUACUCAGUAACGAAGCUAACGCGUGAAGUUGACCGCCUGGGGAUACGGCCGCAAGGUUGAAACCUCAAAGUAGUAGUACGGCGNGNGAGAGACGACGACGACGACGAGGAGGAGG